GACGAACGCUGGCGGCGUGCUUAACACAUGCAAGUCGAACGGAAAGGCCUGCUUUCCCUUGUGGAUUGCGGGUACUCGAGUGGCGAACGGGUGAGUAACACGUGAGUGAUCUGCCCCCAACUUGGGUAUAAGCCUGGGAAACUGGGUCUAAUUCCCGAUAGGACUGCAGGGUGGUGCCUGUGGUGGAACACGAUUUUCUAGUGGUUGGGGAUGAGCUCGCGGCCUAUCAGCUUGUUGGUGGGGUAAUGGCCUACCAAGGCGGCGACGGGUAGCCGGCCUGAGAGGUUGGACGGCCACAUUGGGACUGGGAUACGGCCCAGACGCCUACGGGAGGCAGCAGUGGGGGAUAGUGGACGAUGGGCGGAAGCCUGAUGCAGCGACGCCGCGAUGGGGAUGACGGCCUUCGGGUUGGAAACUUCUUGCGACCGCGAGGAAGCCACCUGGUUGGAAGGGUAGUGACGGUAGUGGUAGAAGAAGCACCGGCUAACUACGUG
rnacentral:rRNA from 1 species